rnacentral:rRNA from 1 species
UACGAAGGGUGCUAGCGUUGCUCGGAAUCACUGGGCGUAAAGCGCACGUAGGCGGUUUGUUAAGUCAGGGGUGAAAUCCUGGAGCUCAACUCCAGAACUGCCUUUGAUACUGGUGAUCUCGAGUCCGGGAGAGGUGAGUGGAACUGCGAGUGUAGAGGUGAAAUUCGUAGAUAUUCGCAAGAACACCAGUGGCGAAGGCGGCUCACUGGCCCGGUACUGACGCUGAGGUGCGAAAGCGUGGGGAGCAAACAGG